UUGAUCCUGGCUCAGAUUGAACGCUGGCGGCAUGCUUUACACAUGCAAGUCGAACGGGGUUGGGAGCUUGCUUCCAAUCUAGUGGCGAACGGGUGAGUAAUACAUCGGAACGUACCGUGUAGUGGGGGAUAACGUAGCGAAAGUUACGCUAAUACCGCAUACGAUCCACGGAUGAAAGCAGGGGACCUUCGGGCCUUGUGCUAUACGAGCGGCCGAUGUCUGAUUAGCUAGUUGGUGAGGUAAAGGCUCACCAAGGCGACGAUCAGUAGCGGGUCUGAGAGGAUGAUCCGCCACACUGGGACUGAGACACGGCCCAGACUCCUACGGGAGGCAGCAGUGGGGAAUUUUGGACAAUGGGCGCAAGCCUGAUCCAGCCAUGCCGCGUGUCUGAAGAAGGCCUCGGUGUAAGG
rnacentral:rRNA from 1 species